UGAGUACGAGAUGCUACGGCAUUGAAGCAGUCUAUGUCAUACUUCCAAGAAAAGCUUGCAAUGUCAUAAACAAAUAAUGCCUGUACCAUAACCGACACAGGUGGGUAGGUAGAGUAUACUAAGGGGCGCGAGAUAACUCUCUCUAAGGAACUCGGCAAAAUGACUCCGUAACUUCGGGAGAAGGAGUGCCUUAUUUUAUAAGGUUGCAAUAACAAGAUCCAAGCAACUGUUUACCAAAAACACAGGUCUCCGCUAAGUCGUAAGACGAUGUAUGGGGGCUGACGCCUGCCCAGUGCCAGAAGGUUAAAGAAGUUGGUUAGCAUUAGCGAAGCUGAUAACUGAAGCCCUGGUGAACGGCGGCCGUAACUAUAACGGUCCUAAGGUAGCGAAAUUCCUUGUCGGGUAAGUUCCGACCCGCACGAAAGGCGUAAUGAUUUGGAUACUGUCUCGGAGAGGGGCUCGGUGAAAUAGACUUGUCUGUGAAGAUGCGGACUACCUGCACCUGGACAGAAAGACCCUAUGAAGCUUUACUGUAACUUGAGAUUGAAAUUGGACUUUAUUUGCGCAGUAUAGGUGGGAGACAUUGAAAGUAUUCUUGCGGGAAUAUUGGAGUCAUCAGUGAGAUACCACUCUUAUAAUGUUAGAUUUCUAACUUUGUAUCAUUAUCUGGUCAAAGAACAGUUUCAGGCGGGCAGUUUGACUGGGGCGGUCGCCUCCCAAACGGUAACGGAGGCGCACAAAGGUUUCCUCUGAACGUGUAGAAAUCGUAUCUAGAGUGUAAAGGCAUAAGGAAGCUUGACUGUGAGACCUACAAGUCGAGCAGGGACGAAAGUCGGUCUUAGUGAUCUGACGGUGCUGAGUGGAAAGGCCGUCACUCAACGGAUAAAAGUUACUCUAGGAUAACAGGCUGAUCUCCCCCAAGAGUUCACAUCGACGGGGAGGUUUGGCACCUCGAUGUCGGCUCAUCGCAUCCUGGGGCGGUAGUACGUCCCAAGGGUUGGGCUGUUCGCCCAUGAAAGCGGUACGCGAGCUGGGUUCAGAACGUCGUGAGACAGUUCGGUCCAUAUCCGGUGUAGGCGUUAGAAUAUUGAGAGGAGCCUUCUUUAGUACGAGAGGACCGAGAAGGACAUACCUCUGGUGUACCAGUUAUCGUGCCAACGGUAAACGCUGGGUAGCUAUGUAUGGAGAGGAUAACCGCUGAAAGCAUCUAAGUGGGAAGCCCACCUCAAGAUAAGUAUUCCC
rnacentral:rRNA from 1 species